rnacentral:tRNA from 1 species
CCUGGUGGCUAAGAGGUUAAAGUGUCUGCCUCUGAUGCGGGAGACCUAGGUUCGAUCCCUGGGUCAGGA